AGCGAACGCUAGCGGCGGGCCUAACACAUGCAAGUCGAGCGGGGAGCAAUCCCAGCGGCGAACGGGUGAGUAACACGUGGGUAAUGUGCCUUCUGGUGGGGAAUAACCUUGGGAAACCAGGGCUAAUACCGCAUAUCGUGCUUCGGCAUGAAAGCCUUCGGGCGCCAGUAGAGCAGCCUGCGUCCCAUUAUUUAGUCCUAGUUGGUAGGGUAAUGGCCUACCAAGGGUACGAUGGGUAGCUGGUCUGAGAGGAUGAUCAGCCACACUGGGACUGAGACACGGCCCAGACUCCUACGGGAGGCAGCAGUGGGGAAUAUUGGACAAUGGGCGCAAGCCUGAUCCAGCAAUGCCGCGUGUGUGAAGAAGGCCUGCGGGUUGUAAAGCACUUUCAGUGGGGAAGAACAGAUUCGGGUCAAUACCCCGGAGCCCUGACGUUACCCACAGAAGAAGCACCGGCUAACUACCGUGCCAGCAGCCGCGGUAAAGUAGU
rnacentral:rRNA from 1 species